UGGGUCGAGCUUAGGCAAGCAUA
rnacentral:miRNA from 1 species